rnacentral:rRNA from 1 species
GACGAACGCUGGCGGUGUGCUUAACACAUGCAAGUCGAACGGUGAACGAGGGAGCUUGCUCCCUCCGGAUCAGUGGCGAACGGGUGAGUAACACGUGAGCAAUCUGCCCCGAACUCUGGGAUAAGCGUUGGAAACGACGUCUAAUACCGGAUACGACGCGGGAGGGCAUCCUCUCCGCGUGGAAAGAACUUCGGUUCGGGAUGAGCUCGCGGCCUAUCAGCUUGUUGGUGAGGUAACGGCUCACCAAGGCGACGACGGGUAGCCGGCCUGAGAGGGUGACCGGCCACCAGGGGAACGGGAAACCGCCCAGAAUCCUACGGGAGGAAGGAGGGGGGAAAAUUGCCAAAGGGGGGGAAGGCUGAAGGAGCAACGGCGGGGGGGGGAAGACGGCCUUCGGGGUGUAAACCUCUUUUAGCAGGGAAGAAGCGAAAGGGACGGGACCUGCAAAAAAAGCCCCGGCUAACUACG